rnacentral:tRNA from 1 species
UAUUUUGUAGCUCAGUGGUAGAGCGCUUAUUUCACAUAAGGCCCUGGGUUCGAUCCUCAGCACCACAU